rnacentral:tRNA from 1 species
GAGACUCUAGUAAAACCGAUAUAACACUGCCUUGUCGAGGCAAAAUUGCGGGUUAGACCCCCGCGUGUCUCU